rnacentral:rRNA from 1 species
CUAUGCGCCUUGCCAGCCCGCUCAGGUGUGCCAGCCGCGCGGUAAUACGUAGGUGGCGAGCGUUAUCCGGAAUGAUUGGGCGUAAAAGGGUGCGCAGGCGGUCCUGCAAGUCUGGAGUGAAACGCAUGAGCUCAACUCAUGCAUGGCUUUGGAAACUGGAGGACUGGAGAGCAGGAGAGGGCGGUGGAACUCCAUGUGUAGCGGUAAAAUGCGUAGAUAUAUGGAAGAACACCAGUGGCGAAGGCGGCCGCCUGGCCUGUUGCUGACGCUGAGGCACGAAAGCGUGGGGAGCAAAUAGG